rnacentral:rRNA from 1 species
GGAYUCCCCUAGUAACUGCGAGUGAAGCGGGAAAAGCUCAAAUUUAAAAUCUGAGGGUCCUUGCGGCCUUCCGAGUUGUAAUCUAGAGAAGUGCUAUCCGCGCUGGACCGUGUACAAGUCUCCUGGAACGGAGCGUCAUAGAGGGUGAGAAUCCCGUCUUUGACACGGACUACCAGGGCUUAUGUGAUGCGCUCUCAAAGAGUCGAGUUGUUUGGGAAUGCAGCUCUAAAUGGGUGGUAAAUUCCAUCUAAAGCUAAAUAUUGGCGAGAGACCGAUAGCGAACAAGUACCGUGAGGGAAAGAUGAAAAGAACUUUGGAAAGAGAGUUAAACAGUACGUGAAAUUGUUGAAAGGGAAACGCUUGAAGUCAGUCGCGUUGGCCAGGAAUCAACCUUGCUUUUGCUUGGCGUACUUUCUGGUUAACGGGUCAGCAUCAAUUUUGAUCGGUGGAUAAAGGUCAGGGGAAUGUGGCAUCUUCGGAUGUGUUAUAGCCUCUGRUUGCAUACAUCGGUUGGGAUUGAGGAACUCAGCACGCCGCAAGGCCGGGUUUUUAACCACGUACGUGCUUAGGAUGCUGG